rnacentral:lncRNA from 1 species
AAACUUAUCGAACGUCAUGGAAGUAACCUCCUAUCACAUUUUUUCCAUUCAGUUGCCCCAAAAAAUUUUCAAAUUACUAUAACCUCUCGUGGGUCAUUCAAGAUAGUGUUAAGUUGAUGAGAAAAGAAAUGUUGAAUAUAGUGGUACUUUUACCCAUGCUAACCUUAUCCAAAGAGAGAUUAGAAGAGUUUGAAGUGACCUACCAAACAAUUGCAUAAGCACUAAAUUGUUGGCAAUUUAUUACACAGAAUAUAGCACCAUGUGCAGACAUAUACAAUACAAGAUAAGAUUUCCACAGUUGGCUCGAACAUAACAAAAAAUAGGACUACUAGCUAUACAGCCUAACUCUUUUGAUUAGUUUUUGGUGCACCCAGGAGGUCCCUUCUUGUGUACAUUGCCUUUUAUAGAGAACCACUUUUAGGUUUUAUACAACUUCCAUAUGGGGUUUUCAACAUAACAUCAACAAAUAUUACCUUAUUAAUACACAAACAUGCAGCC